ensembl:lncRNA
GUCCUUGAAUCUACUACACCAACAGCCGUAUAAAAGUGAUUUUGUCUCAAAAAAAAAAAAAAAACCCUUAUAGAUGUGUUUACAGGAGCUGAACUGGAAGAUUGCUCUGCAUUAGUUUCACACAACCAGGCAGUUCAGUUCUAAAAGCAACUUGAAUUGAUUUCUUCAAUGCUUUUAGUUUAUUUAGCUGACUUUUAAGGUAGCAAGCAACCUUCAGUGUGCAUCUGUGGGAUUGUUCCACCUGUUUUAUUGUCCAGCAGAUGAAAAUGGUGCAUCCUAUCACUUGGUAAAGUACCAGCACAAGACACAGGAGUUGAAUCAUUCAAACUAAUAAAGCUUAGAGUGUUGCACAACACUUAUUUACUUUGAUCAAGUGCUUCGAAAGUAAAUCCCAAAGAAUAUCCAAUGAAACAAGCCGAAUCUUCUCUUCUCGACACCUCCUGGACUUCCCACGUAAAACACGCCCCUCUGCUCCGCCUCAGUGCUCUUGACUUCUCCAAUUUAUGGGAUGAUGAGGAUCUUGAGUUGAACAGCACUGAAGAAGACUCCUACCAUACUUCGGCCAAUCAGAUUGCAACCUCACCCAUCCCUCCACCCCUCCCCCUUCGGCCCCGCCCCUCUCUGUAGUCAGUGAGUCGCCGCGGCCGCCAGGCUGUUGUACCCUGAGGCUCCACUGAAGCGCUGUUGAGUCUGCAGCCUUUGCCAAAAGUGGGCCGCUUCGGGCAUCAGUCGAUCUGGGCCGGACUGGAGCCAGUUCAGCUGGAUACCAAUAGACUGGAAUACCUGUUUGAGAGCAAAAGCAGCAGCAGCAACAGCGCCCUCUGCAAAAAGAGGCCAAAACCCCUCUAAAAUCAGCCUGCUGACCAGCUAUGACCAGUGAAGGAGAAUCGGGAGCAGGAGAAACUUGAGGAGGUUUUGAAGACUCCUGAAUCAUCAUCAUCAUCUUUCUACUUUGACUUCACUCUUCCGCGACAACGCAGCAAGUCGAGUGACAACAAAGCUAUUAUAAUUGUUGCCACAUUCCUCAGUUGCAUUCAAAUAAAAAUGGAAAAUGAGUACAGAUACGAAGGAUUGUUUUGUUGCAGGUAGUCACUCCCGAAGGCUGAAGUGGUGAACACCAAUCCUCAUUCCUCUAAAAGUGUAGCUCACGGACUCAAGGGCUUGUCGACUAUAUAUUUGAGUUUGGAAGCAAAACUUGAAAUAACAUGGUUUUUGUUGUUGUUGUUGUUUUGUCAAUUAUUUUGAAUUGUUAACAAGCUGACACAAAUUUAAUCAAAAGUCAGUAAUUUUGUAUGCUGAAUUGUUGCUGUUCAUGAAUUGUUUUGUUUCAUUAUUGUUUUAAUGCUUAAAAUCUGCUGGAAAACCCAUUAAGUUUCCAUUGUGACAACUUACCCAGUAUAUUGUGACAACAUCACCUGACUUGCC